rnacentral:rRNA from 1 species
GGGGAAUAUUGCACAAUGGGGGAAACCCUGAUGCAGCGACGCCGCGUGGAGGAAGAAGGUCUUCGGAUUGUAAACUCCUGUUGUUGGGGAAGAUAAUGACGGUACCCAACAAGGAAGUGACGGCUAACUACGUGCCAGCAGCCGCGGUAAAACGUAGGUCACAAGCGUUGUCCGGAAUUACUGGGUGUAAAGGGAGCGCAGGCGGGAAGACAAGUUGGAAGUGAAAUCUAUGGGCUCAACCCAUAAACUGCUUUCAAAACUGUUUUUCUUGAGUAGUGCAGAGGUAGGCGGAAUUCCCGGUGUAGCGGUGGAAUGCGUAGAUAUCGGGAGGAACACCAGUGGCGAAGGCGGCCUACUGGGCACCAACUGACGCUGAGGCUCGAAAGUGUGGGUAGCAAACAGGAUUAGAUACCCUGGUAGUCCACACCGUAAACGAUGAUUACUAGGUGUUGGAGGAUUGACCCCUUCAGUGCCGCAGUUAACACAAUAAGUAAUCCACCUGGGGAGUACGACCGCAAGGUUGAAACUCAAAGGAAUUGACGGGGGCCCGCACAAGCGGUGGAGUAUGUGGUUUAAUUCGACGCAACGCGAAGAACCUUACCAGGGCUUGACAUAUACAGGAAUAUGUAAGAGAUUACAUAGCUCUUCGGAGUCUGUAUACAGGUGGUGCAUGGUUGUCGUCAGCUCGUGUCGUGAGAUGUUGGGUUAAGUCCCGCAACGAGCGCAACCCUUAUGGUCAGUUACUACGCAAGAGGACUCUGGCCAGACUGCCGUUGACAAAACGGAGGAAGGUGGGGAUGACGUCAAAUCAUCAUGCCCUUUAUGACUUGGGCUACACACGUACUACAAUGGCGUUAAACAAAGAGAAGCAAGACCGCGAGGUGGAGCAAAACUCAGAAACAACGUCCCAGUUCGGACUGCAGGCUGCAACUCGCCUGCACGAAGUCGGAAUUGCUAGUAAUCGUGGAUCAGCAUGCCACGGUGAAUACGUUCCCG